CACUCUGACCUGCUGUUGCUAAGGGAUGUGACGUCAUAGGAGUAUGGCAGACAGGCUCAGAUAGAAGGAAGGGUUAGGAAAGAUAGUUAGUGUUUGGCGAAGAGAAAACGGUAGCAAAUAAAAUCCGUCUCCAUCCUUACUCAAACGAAAGGGAAUGCCACCCAAAAGGACAGGAACAGAAUCUACACAUUUUAGGCAUUCCGAAAAAUCUCAUAUUGUGAUGUUUUGAAAAACGGGGAGGUUGAAAAGGGAUGGUGAAAUUUGGGUUGUGAAAGAAGAAACAAUAAUAUUAAAUAUAGGGAGACGGGGGAGAGCUGAGAGAAGAGGAAAUAUUUAGAAAUAAUACUAUUGCAGAGGUUUAAAAGGUUGAAUUAGAAAAUAUUCUGGGAUUUAUUGUAUUACUAUUACUUAUAUUCUUUGAAAAUAUUAAAUAAAAGCCAUGGAAUUGAGAGUUGGAAACAGAUACAGACUGGGGAGGAAAAUUGGAAGUGGUUCAUUUGGAGAUAUUUAUUUGGGAAAACAAGCUACCGAAGGUACUAGCAGUGGCAGCAUAAAAGGAGCAGAUAUUGCUGCUGGAGAAGAAGUUGCAAUUAAACUAGAAUGUGUGAAAACCAAACACCCACAGCUCCACAUAGAGAGCAAGAUCUACAAAAUGAUGCAGGGAGGAGUUGGUAUUCCCACAAUUAAAUGGUGUGGAGCAGAAGGUGAUUACAAUGUCAUGGUGAUGGAGCUACUGGGACCAAGUCUUGAGGACCUCUUCAACUUCUGCUCAAGAAAAUUCAGCCUAAAGACUGUCUUGCUGCUGGCUGAUCAGAUGAUAAGCCGCAUUGAGUAUAUCCACUCGAAGAACUUCAUCCACAGAGAUGUGAAGCCUGACAACUUUCUAAUGGGACUGGGGAAGAAGGGGAACCUCGUUUAUAUCAUCGACUUCGGCCUUGCCAAGAAAUACCGGGAUGCACGCACACACCAGCACAUUCCCUAUCGCGAGAACAAGAACCUGACCGGCACAGCCCGCUACGCUUCCAUCAACACACAUCUGGGAAUCGAACAAUCCCGCCGUGAUGACUUGGAGUCCCUGGGCUAUGUGCUGAUGUAUUUCAACCUGGGCUCUCUGCCCUGGCAGGGCCUCAAAGCAGCCACCAAGAGGCAAAAAUACGAACGAAUCAGCGAGAAGAAAAUGUCAACCCCCAUUGAAGUCCUCUGCAAGGGCUACCCAUCCGAGUUUGCAACAUACCUGAAUUUCUGCCGGUCUCUUCGUUUUGAUGACAAACCAGAUUAUUCAUACCUGCGACAACUCUUCAGGAAUCUCUUCCACAGACAAGGGUUUUCCUAUGACUAUGUGUUCGACUGGAACAUGCUUAAAUUUGGUGCCAACAGAGCUGCCGAAGAUGCAGAGAGAGAGAGGAGGGAGCGAGAGGAGAGAAUGAGGCACACACGGAAUCCAGGCACUAGGGUGCUGCCGCCCACAACCGCUGGGAGGCCAAGGGGAACCCAGGAUGUCGCACCGCCCACUCCUCUGACUCCCACCUCUCACACUGGUAGGAACAAAGGCAAAUACGUCACCCCGCCCUGUAUCGGGAAUGGAGCGCGAGAGGAAAGUCAGUAUGAGAUUGCACCGCGGUGCCCCAGUCAACAUCUCCUCCUCUGACCUCACAGGGAGGCAGGACACCUCACGCAUGUCAACGUCACAGAAUAGCAUUCCCUUCGAACACCACGGCAAGUAGCUGCUCGCCACGUUCUUGUUUGAAGGCAGCACUGGAUCCUAUCUCGAGUGGCCCCCAGUGGUCUCCAGUCUGCUGUACACCGAUGAAAGAAAGCUAUUUGCCAUGGAGGGCAGAUAAUGCAUGGCUGAUCUCUACUAGUACUAUUCCAACAGCUUCACUGAUGCAAAAAAUAAACAAACCCCAAAAUGAACAAAUUAAAAAACAGUUAAUGAUGCCUUUUAAAGAAACAAAACUCAAGUUUAAAAAACAAAAAAAUGCAUACAAAAACAGGAACAGAACCAUUUUUCUGCAGCCCCCGCCUUUACCAAGCAGAUGUUGCAAGAAAAGCCACCUGCUGCAAGCACCAUUGAGUAGCAGCAGAAGUGGGCUUUGAGAGACAAUUCACCAAGAGGACUGGCUAUCCUUGCCAUUUUUGUUCUCCCUCCACUAUUGGCAAAGUAAUGAUUUUAUUAUCUUACUGUAUAAUGAUAGACAUUAACUUUUUAAAACUUUGUUUUGUUAAGCUAAAUUUAACAGGCUCCAGUCUGUCUAGAUGGGUAGUAUGUCGGUGUAUUGCUUUUAUUGUCUGAUUAUACAAAAACAAUUUAAACUUAAACUUUUGAACUUAAGACUUGAAAUUCCUCAAGGCUCACAGGAAAUGUUUCAUGUGAAAUUUAAAAAUAAUUAUUAAACUUUACCUUUUUGUUUUGUUUUUUGGUAUGGACCCUUUUUAUGCUUGUUAAUGGCCUAUGUUCCUUUUUUUCUAUUUGACUAAGGAUUUCAAGACAUUUUUUGCUAGCUAGCUAGCUUGUUUUAUAGAACCAUUUAAGUUUUUCUUCCACAUUCAUAUACUUUGACACUGACAAGUUGUGUGCAAUAAUGUUGUCUGAAUUGCCUAGUGAUGCCAGUGGGAGCCACAGUUGCAACUAACAUCCUUAAAAACAUUUUAAAGCCAAUGACAAUGUGGAAGAAGGAACUGGGUAACAUUUUAAAUAUCUUUUUUUUUUUUUUUAACACAGAUUUCUGUUGUAUUUUAAUAUUUAGAAAUAGUCUUUGGUGGGGUUCCUGGUUUCACUGAAUGACUUCCACAUUGAAGCUCUCUGUACUUUGUUGCUGUUUGUCGCAGUCCCAUAAUGUUUGUUUUCUAUUGACAUUUUACACCAUUUCAAAGCUGUGAAAUAAUAAAACUUGUAUAAUAGAAAUGUAAAUGUAUCCAUUUGCUGUCAUGUGAAUCUUGCGAAGUUCUGUCAUUUUAACCUGAGCUAUCAAGCCUUAUUUAAUAGACUGCAGGGACCUGGUAGUAUAAUAGGGCUUUAGUGUUCAUGCCUCCUUGAUUAGCAGUUCUUGGACACACACUUGUUUUUUGCCAACUCAAAGGAGCAGUAUUUAUAAUAGGACCUCUGCCUCUUAAACCAAUCUUACCAAGGGAUCAGACAAAAGGGACCGGUGUCUCAUGCAAAACAAGUGGCGAGUUAUGGUUAAGCCCCAUUUUAUAACUUGCUUCUUUAAAUAAAUGGACUGAUCUUCCUAUUUUAAUAUACAUUUUAAAUGGUACCAAAAACAGAUUUGUGACUCUUGGUCUGUAAAAAGUAGGGUAAUCAGACAUUUAAGUGACAUGUUAUUAUUAAGUGACAUACUUUGCUGUUUUAAAUAAAUAAAUAAAUAAUUGGAGAGAAACACUGCAUGUAAACUGGGCUUUGGCAAAGUUUAAUAGCUAUUGCUAAUGUGUCCUUAAGCUGCAUCAUAGAACUGUGUACAGUAGUGAUUUCUGCCUUUAAGAAAAAAAUAAAUAAAUCUUGCUGUUGGAAUGCAAAAGGUUGACUGAGGCAUGUGCACAAAAACCUAGGUUAUAUACCUGAAUUUAUAAGAUCUCUGCUUUAACAUUGCUAUAAGGGAGAGGAGCUGUUCUGUGGGACUUUGUUUGUAAUUAUACAGUCCACACUAUAAAACUUUUCCAUAACCAGUACCUUCAACUGUUUCAAUUGAGUCAACUUCUUGUGUAUGUCAGUCAGAAGAUAAUGAUUCUGACUAUUUGUCAUUCUCUUCAUUAUGGCUGACCACAUCAACUUUCCACAUAUCUCCUCCCUUUACACAUUAGCAAGUCUGUAGUAUCCUGUGUAAUGGUAAUCUAUUAGCCCUGUAAGACUUUUUUUUUUUUUUCUUUCAUUUGUAUUGCCACUGUAUUUGUGUACUUUAAAAUUGUGUAAAUAAAUUAUUACUUGUAAA